GUGGGGAAUUUUGGACAAUGGGCGCAAGCCUGAUCCAGCAAUGCCGCGUGCAGGAAGAAGGCCUUCGGGUUGUAAACUGCUUUUGUACGGAACGAAACGGUCCUGGUUAAUACCUGGGGCUAAUGACGGUACCGUAAGAAUAAGCACCGGCUAACUACGUGCCAGCAGCCGCGGUAAUACGUAGGGUGCGAGCGUUAAUCGGAAUUACUGGGCGUAAAGCGUGCGCAGGCGGUGCUGUAAGACAGGCGUGAAAUCCCCGGGCUCAACCUGGGAAUUGCGUUUGUGACUGCAGUGCUGGAGUACGGCAGAGGGGGAUGGAAUUCCGCGUGUAGCAGUGAAAUGCGUAGAUAUGCGGAGGAACACCGAUGGCGAAGGCAGUCCCCUGGGCCUGUACUGACGCUCAUGCACGAAAGCGUGGGGAGCAAACAGGAUUAGAAACCCCAGUAGUCC
rnacentral:rRNA from 1 species